AAGCUCUGCUUGAACUGCUACCCACGGCUGGCAGUCACUAAAAUUGAGUUAAGUGCUGCACAAACAUGCAGUGAAACAUAGGCCUGUGCCUGAAGAGCUGAAACACAGGAACAGGUUUGUCUGAGGUGUGCACUGGAAGGAGAAAAACAAAGGAUGGGUUCUUCACGACUGAUACUUUCCUCUUCCUAGUUUGACCCCAGCUGAAUUUGGAACAUCCUAAGAUCCACGAAAGUAGUAAACUUCCAUGACACCUUUGGAUUCCUGGAACAAUGUUGCACCUCUUUCAGCCCCUCAUAUACCUUAUAUUACUUGAAAGAUUUUGUCCAAACAUCUGCAUACAGUUAAGCUCCAAAGAAGAAAUUUCAAGGCACUGAGAAGGUUCUCCCACUUGGCUCAGCUUGACCCUCGACCUCUCUUCAGGGUGUGGAGAGGAAUGGCAUCUCCCCUGCUGGUCCAGCACGCCUCUCCCAAGCACCUGUGAGGAUGGGCUGAGUUACUCCCUCACACACCCCUUUUCUGUUAGUUGUGCUUGCAGGCUACACAGUGACACCUCACUACCAACCAUCUCCUCCUCUGACAAAUUCAGUGCUCACACCAGUCCCCAAGGUGCUGCUUUACAGUUACUGACAGUCUAAAGUCCAAAUUAAGGAUGUGUCACUGUGCACGAUAUUUCAGCGAAUCAAAGCAAUUAGCAGAAUUUCUCCUGGACAGUGUUUUGGAAGUCUCUAUCUUGAGCUUUUGCUGUUUUAUUGAUUUUUUUUUUUGUUUGUAUGUUUCUUUUUUUAUUUUUCAUUUGGGUUUCUCUCUCUUUCUCCUAAGCGGCAGAGAGAAACAAAAAAUCAAAGAUCCCUUAUCUUCAAAUUUUUUAUUUCCCCUUGGGAAAUAUGUAAAAAGUCAGUAGUGCAGUUGAUACUGAAUUAACUACACUAGGCUUCAUUAUAAUUCAAAAUCCUCAAAAGGCUAAUAUUUUUUCCAAAAAUUUUAAAACUAUAAAAACUUAAUGGCUUGUGGAGAAUUUUUCUUCUUUUUCAUUAUCAAUCAGCGAUUCAAUAUCUAGUAGGAUUAAUUCCUACCAGAAAAAUUGUUUCCAAAAUCCACUGUGUCAGAAUUUAUGAAAAGCCUCAUAAACAUUACUGUGUCUUUUGAAUUGUAUUAUAUGUUUGAAAGAAGAAAAAAAAUUAGGAAAACUGAAAAAAGUGAACCUGAAAAGUGGAUAUGUGACUAUCGCAGAAGGACAAGAGACCAUAUUUUGCCCAAGAAUGACCCC